rnacentral:tRNA from 1 species
GGUUCUAUGGAGUAGUGGUCAACUCUAGCGGUUCUGACUCGCCUGCGCAGAAUCCCCUUCAUUGAAGGGAUGAUCGGUUUCCGCUCGCCCCCGGUUCGAAUCCGGGUAGGACCU